ACUUUCGCACCAAGUUUUGGUGCGGAACCUUCGGUCAUGGAGGUAACGCUUAAUAGGGAACCCGGUGUGAAUCCGGGACUGUACCCGCAGCUGUAAGUUCCUUUACAAGGGAUUUUGUACUUCAAAUGUCACUGGUUAUAAACUGGGAAGGCAACAAAAUCCGGAACAAGUCAGAAGACCUGCCGAACAAGAUAAACCAUA
rnacentral:ncRNA from 1 species